rnacentral:rRNA from 1 species
GGCAGCACAGAAGAGCUUGCUCUUUGGGUGGCGAGUGGCGGACGGGUGAGUAAUGUCUGGGAAACUGCCCGAUGGAGGGGGAUAACUACUGGAAACGGUAGCUAAUACCGCAUAACGUCGCAAGACCAAAGUGGGGGACCUUCGGGCCUCACACCAUCGGAUGUGCCCAGAUGGGAUUAGCUAGUAGGUGGGGUAACGGCUCACCUAGGCGACGAUCCCUAGCUGGUCUGAGAGGAUGACCAGCCACACUGGAACUGAGACACGGUCCAGACUCCUACGGGAGGCAGCAGUGGGGAAUAUUGCACAAUGGGCGCAAGCCUGAUGCAGCCAUGCCGCGUGUAUGAAGAAGGCCUUCGGGUUGUAAAGUACUUUCAGCGGGGAGGAAGGCGACGCGGUUAAUAACCGCGUCGAUUGACGUUACCCGCAGAAGAAGCACCGGCUAACUCCGUGCCAGCAGCCGCGGUAAUACGGAGGGUGCAAGCGUUAAUCGGAAUUACUGGGCGUAAAGCGCACGCAGGCGGUCUGUCAAGUCGGAUGUGAAAUCCCCGGGCUUAACCUGGGAACUGCAUUCGAAACUGGCAGGCUAGAGUCUUGUAGAGGGGGGUAGAAUUCCAGGUGUAGCGGUGAAAUGCGUAGAGAU